rnacentral:rRNA from 1 species
AGGGCACCACCAGGAGUGGAGCCUGCGGCUUAAUUUGACUCAACACGGGAAAUCUCACCAGGCCCGGACACCGGAAGGAUUGACAGAUUGAGAGCUCUUUCUUGAUUCGGUGGGUGGUGGUGCAUGGCCGUUCUUAGUUGGUGGAGCGAUUUGUCUGGUUAAUUCCGAUAACGAACGAGACUCUGGCCUACUAACUAGAUGAUUCCUCAUUUAUUGGGGAGUCACUGCUUCUUAGAGGGACGGGCGGCGUUUAGCCGCACGAGAAUGAGCAAUAACAGGUCUGUGAUGCCCUUAGAUGUUCUGGGCUGCACGCGCGCUACACUGAAGGAAUCAGCGUGUCCUCCCCACCCUGGCAAGGGCGGGUAACCCGUUGAAACUCCUUCGUGAUGGGGAUUGGAGAUUGUAAUUAUUCUCCAUGAACGAGGAAUUCCCAGUGGGCGCGAGUCAUCAGCUUGCGUCGAUUACGUCCCUGCCCUUUGUACACACCGCCCGUCGCUACUACCGAUCGAGUGAUUUAGU